rnacentral:rRNA from 1 species
GUCGGUGUUGAUUGCUGUGAGGGUCCACCUGUUCCCAUUCCGAACACAGAAGUUAAGCUCAUCAGCGUCGAAGAUACUUGGCUGGCGACGGCCCGGGAAAAUAGAUAAUGCCGACA